UACGGGAGGCAGCAGUAGGGAAUCUUCCGCAAUGGACGAAAGUCUGACGGAGCAACGCCGCGUGAGCGAAGAAGGUCUUCGGAUCGUAAAGCUCUGUUGUCGGGGAAGAACAAGUACGGUAGGAAAUGGCCGUACCUUGACGGUACCCGACGAGAAAGCCACGGCUAACUACGUGCCAGCGACCGCGGUAAU
rnacentral:rRNA from 1 species